rnacentral:rRNA from 1 species
AUUGAACGCUGGCGGCAGGCCUAACACAUGCAAGUCGAACGGUAACAGGAAGCAGCUUGCUGCUUCGCUGACGGGUGGCGGACGGGUGAGUAAUGUCUGGGAAGCUGCCUGAUGGAGGGGGAUAACUACUGGAAACGGUAGCUAAUACCGCAUAAUGUCGCAAGACCAAAGAGGGGGACCUUCGGGCCUCUUGCCAUCGGCUGUGCCCAGAUGGGAUUAGCUUGUUGGUGGGGUAACGGCUCACCAAGGCGACGAUCCCUAGCUGGUCUGAGAGGAUGACCAGCCACACUGGAACUGAGACACGGUCCAGACUCCUACGGGAGGCAGCAGUGGGGAAUAUUGCACAAUGGGCGCAAGCCUGAUGCAGCCAUGCCGCGUGUAUGAAGAAGGCCUUCGGGUUGUAAAGUACUUUCAGCGGGGAGGAAGGGAGUAAAGUUAAUACCUUUGCUCAUUGACGUUACCCGCAGAAGAAGCACCGGCUAACUCCGUG